rnacentral:rRNA from 1 species
AGAGUUUGAUCCUGGCUCAGGAUUAACGCUGGCGGCAUGCCUAAGACAUGCAAGUCGAACGGAACACCCCACUGAAAUCUGAAUGAAGUCUGAGAGCUUGCUCAAAGAUGGAAUGACGGUGGAUGUGGAUUCUGUGUUCAGUGGCGAACGGGUGAGUAACACGUGGGUUACCUGCCUCUAAGUUGGGGACAACAGUUGGAAACGACUGCUAAUACCGAAUGUGAUAGUAAUAUUAAAGGAGCCUUUAAAGCUUCGCUUAGAGAUGGGCCUGCGGCGUAUUAGCUAGUUGGUGGGGUAAUGGCCUACCAAGGCGACGAUGCGUAGCCGGACUGAGAGGUUGAUCGGCCACACUGGGACUGAGACACGGCCCAGACUCCUACGGGAGACAGCAGUUAGGAAUAUUCGGCAAUGGGGGAAACCCUGACCGAGCAAUGCCGCGUGUGAGAUGAAGGUCCUUCGGAUUGUAAAUCACUUUUAUUUGGGAAGAACUGUAAGCAGAGGAAAUGAUGCUUACUUGACGGUACCUUUUGAAUAAGCCCCGGCUAACUACGUGCCAGCAGCCGCGGUAAUACGUAGGGGGCGAGCGUUAUCCGGAUUUAUUGGGCGUAAAGCGUGCGUAGGCGGUUUAUUAAGUCUAGAAUUAAAGCCCGAGGCUUAACCUCGGUUCGUUCUAGAUACUGGUUGACUAGAGUACAGUAGAGGCAAAUGGAAUUCCUAGUGUAGCGGUGGAAUGCGUAGAUAUUAGGAGGAACACCAGUGGCGAAGGCGAUUUGCUGGGCUGUAACUGACGCUGAGGUACGAAAGCGUGGGUAGCAAAUAGGAUUAGAUACCCUAGUAGUCCACGCUGUAAACGAUGAGCACUAAGUGUCGGGUUACCGGUGCUGAAGUUAACACAUUA